rnacentral:sRNA from 1 species
AACCACUCGCUAGGCGAGUGGUUCCAAAGAAGGCUUGUGCCGAUGAUGAAGACAGAAAAACUCCUUUUGUUGUAAAAUAAACUUGCGGUCUGGCAACUGCAAGGGACAACAAAAG